GUAGGGGGCGAGCGUUGUCCGGAUUUAUUGGGCGUAAAGAGCUCGUAGGCGGCUUGGCAAGUCGGGUGUGUAAACUCCAGGCUCAACCUGGAGACGCCACUCGAGACUGCUAUGGCUAGAGUCCGGUAGGGGACCACGGAAUUCCUGGUGUAGCGGUGAAAUGCGCAGAUAUCAGGAGGAACACCGGUGGCGAAGGCGGUGGUCUGGGCCGGCACUGACGCUGAGGAGCGAAAGCGUGGGGAGCAAACAGGAUUAGAUACCCUGGUAGUCCACGCCGUAAACGUUGGGCACUAGGUGUGGGACCUUAUCAACGGGUUCCGUGCCGUAGCUAACGCAUUAAGUGCCCCGCCUGGGGAGUACGGCCGCAAGGCUA
rnacentral:rRNA from 1 species